rnacentral:misc_RNA from 1 species
GAUGGGAAGAGACCUAAAAAAUGGUUGAUGUGAUUAAUUGUUGUACAAAAGAUGCUCUCUGAUUCAACUCUUCACUGUUCUGGUUUCUUUCCAGCAACUGUGACCUAUUACUUUCCAUAUUAGUAGCAAUGGAGGCGUUUUCUGAACGGUCAUCUCUCUCAACAAAUUCAGGGUCUGAGAAAGGAAUGCUGCAGAUAAAGGGUAGAAGGGGAUCUGGUGCAG